rnacentral:rRNA from 1 species
AGAGUUUGAUCCUGGCUCAGGAUGAACGCUGGCGGCGUGCUUAACACAUGCAAGUCGAACGAGAGGAAGGAAAGCUUGCUUUUCUGAAUCUAGUGGCGAACGGGUGAGUAACACGUAGGUAACCUGCCCAUGUGCCCGGGAUAACUUCUGGAAACGGAUGCUAAAACCGGAUAGGUAGCAGACAAGCAUUUGACUGCUAUUAAAGUGGCUAAGGCCAUGAACAUGGAUGGACCUGCGGUGCAUUAGCUAGUUGGUGAGGUAACGGCCCACCAAGGCGACGAUGCAUAGCCGGCCUGAGAGGGCGGACGGCCACAUUGGGACUGAGACACGGCCCAAACUCCUACGGGAGGCAGCAGUAGGGAAUUUUCGUCAAUGGGGGGAACCCUGAACGAGCAAUGCCGCGUGAGUGAGGAAGGUCUUCGGAUCGUAAAGCUCUGUUGUAAGAGAAAAACGACAUUCAUAGGGAAUGAUGAGUGAGUGAUGGUAUCUUACCAGAAAGUCACGGCUAACUACGUGCCAGCAGCCGCGGUAAUACGUAGGUGGCAAGCGUUAUCCGGAAUGAUUGGGCGUAAAGGGUGCGUAGGUGGCAGAACAAGUCUGGAGUAAAAGGUAUGGGCUCAACCCGUACUGGCUCUGGAAACUGUUCAGCUAGAGAACAGAAGAGGACGGCGGAACUCCAUGUGUAGCGGUAAAAUGCGUAGAUAUAUGGAAGAACACCGGUGGCGAAGGCGGCCGUCUGGUCUGUUGCUGACACUGAAGCACGAAAGCGUGGGGAGCAAAUAGGAUUAGAUACCCUAGUAGUCCACGCCGUAAACGAUGAGAACUAGGUGUUGGGGGAAUAACUCAGUGCCGCAGUUAACGCAAUAAGUUCUCCGCCUGGGGAGUAUGCACGCAAGUGUGAAACUCAAAGGAAUUGACGGGGGCCCGCACAAGCGGUG